GGUUGUGUAGGGGGAGUCCUAUAGGGGUCAAUAAUAGAGAGAGGGAGAUAGCAGCUAAGAGGUUAUUCUACCUCAUUCUCAGCUUCUCCACAUACAUGUUCCCUUCUUUCUCAAUUCUCUAUAUACCAAGUGUCAUAAUCACCGAAAAGCUUGAUAAACCCCUUCUAUGUUCGGCAAUUAGUAGCAGUUCGGCUAGUAGUGUAGUAGUGUAUGAUGUUUCAAGCAUCAUCAGUAAGAAAAGGCUGCAUAAAUAGGUCCUCUCACGCUAAAACAUCAUCAAAUUUAAGUGGGUUUAAGGUAGGUUUUCUUGUUUAUACCUUUUUUAAUAUAAAAUUUAGUAACAAGUGUUGCAUAUGAUAAUUGUGCUAUGGUUGAGUUAUUGAUUGGGUUGUGUUGGUUAAGAAGGUUUUAUGCAGGCUAAUUGGAGAGAUAAGGGUGGAAAAUUUUGUGUUUAACCACCUCUAAAAAAAACCAACGAAAGGAAUGCACAAAUCAUGUUUGAUGAAAUUCCUCUUAGGGAUGUUUAGUUUAAAAAGAAAGAAUUAGGCAAUCAUAUUAUCAAUGAAUGUUAUAUAUAUGUAUAUUGAAGUAGUUUAAAUAGAUUGGGCAAGUUAAGCUAAGUUUAAAACCUGUUUUGUGAAAGAUGAAACAAAUGAAGUUUGGGUGAAAAUUAGUGUAUCGGCCUGCUUUGGGCUAACUGUUUUGGCUAAUUAGACUUGCUGGAAAGCUAUAAUUUUUUGAGGUCUUGUGGUGUGCAAUCCCAGCUAUCCAUAGCCUCUGGAAAAAACUCGUUCCGAGUUUAGACGGUCGAGUUAUGACAUGCCAAAGUGGGUGCAUCGAAUCUGUCCAAAAAUUGUGAAGUCAGAUUCGAACCUGUCCCUUGUGCGAAUUUUCUGUAAUUAUGAGUGCAGAAUUUGGAAAAGGUUAUUGAAUAAGAGUUUUUGCCCUGGAAUUUAGCUUCCUGUGGGCGCAAAUAUCGCUCAAAAAUGUUUUAAAACGAAUUAGUUAUGACUGUUUUAGCGAGAGAGGGUAAAACUGCGAAAAUGUUAAAAAUUAUUAUGGAGGGGCAUUUUCAAGGCUUGUUAUGGGCUGGCUAAAAGACCCAAAAUGGGUGGUUUGUAUUUUUUUAAAAUAGUCUACUAUGGUUUUAAUAUCAUAUUUAAAAAUGGGAGCAAUCCGAUAAGCGAGGAAAAAGUUAAAAAUUCGCAAAAGGGGCAUAUUCAUUGUGGAGACAGCAGCAUGGCUGGUACAGUCUGCCUGGGCUAUUUCGCCUCACAGUUUGGUCAGUCUAGGUUGCUCAAUUUCAUGGGUUAAUAAAUUUUAUUAAUACAUGUAUAUCCUACCUAAAGCAUACUAAAAAUGUGUUACGAUUGGAUAUGUAGAUUUCAAGUUAUUAAGCCGCGAAGUGCGUGUCAAAUGAAAGGGGUUGCUGCCCUGUGGCAACAGCAGAUAGCAGCAGUUUGUGACAAUGGCCCUCCUCAAUUUUAGUAACUACGUAUGAGUCAUUUCUUUUACCACUACAAUUCUUAUACUACAACCUUUUUUUGUAGAUCCACGUUUUCAUUUUACAUCCACAUCGGCUAAUAGUUCGCCCUUUCCUUUUUUAUAAAACACAUACUCCUUCCUACAAAUCUCAUCGCUUCUCACCCUUUUUUUCUCAUUAAACUUUCGCAUGCUAAAACCAGAAUGCAUUGCAUAUGUAUUGUAAAAAGUGUGAACAUCAUCUAAUGUUUUUUAAAUUAUUGACUUAGCCUAGGCACAAGCUCAUCGACUACUUAAGGAUAGUAGACAAAAGUUUUAGCAUUGUUCACAUCCAACCCCUCUGCACUCAAGUCAUCCCCCUCUAUUUCUAUUUCUAUUUCCAAAUUGUAUAUGUAGUCUAAAUCCAUCUAUGCAUUAUCCCCACACAGGGGUGGAUCCAGCUUGAAAAUUCAGUGGGGUCAAAUUCGAAAAAAAAAUUCUUUAAGAAUAAAAAUUUUAUAAAAUGAAUCAUAAAACUAAAUAAUCCUCAAAUAUUGUUUACAAUAACAUUUUUCAAAGUUUUAUUACUUAAAAUUGUUGCAUGAUAGCCUUAUUUUUAAUAGUUACAAAAAUAUCAUAUCAGUAACAUUAAUAUAUUCACAAAUUUUAAGGCUUAGUGAAACAAAAUAAGUAGAGUACUAAAGUUAUAUUAGUACACUACUAUUAUGUUACUGAAAAAAAAAAUUCUACUAUUUUGUUAAUAUGAUAGAUAAACAUUUUAAUAUACUUUAAAAUGUUUAAAUUUGAUUAAGUGACUGGUGGAUUGUUCCACAACAGUUGGCAACAUUAUUGGGAGAAAAUAAAUAUAAUGAUGUUGAUCUCGAAUUUUAUACUACUACUACUAAUGAAAUGAGAGCACCCAUCUGCGCAUAAAUAUAGGAAUAUUUACUAGGCACUAUUUUUUUUCUUGGAAAAU
rnacentral:lncRNA from 1 species